rnacentral:rRNA from 1 species
UGGCGGACGGGGGAGUAAUGUCUGGGAAACUGCCCGAUGGGAGGGGGUAACUACUGGAAACGGUAGCUAAUACCGCAUAACGUCGCAAGACCAAAGAGGGGGACCUUCGGGCCUCUUGCCAUCGGAUGUGCCCAGAUGGGAUUAGCUAGUAGGUGGGGUAACGGCUCACCUAGGCGACGAUCCCUAGCUGGUCUGAGAGGAUGACCAGCCGCACUGGAACUGAGACACGGUCCAG